ACCAGUAUGGUCUAGUGGUCUGAAUGUUGGACUAGGAUUCUGGGAGACUAGGGUUCAAAUCCCUGUAGUCCUG